rnacentral:rRNA from 1 species
GAUGAACGCUGGCGGCGUGCCUAAUACAUGCAAGUCGAGCGAACGGACGAGGAGCUUGCUUCUCUGACGUUAGCGGCGGACGGGUGAGUAACACGUGGAUAACCUACCUAUAAGACUGGGAUAACUUCGGGAAACCGGAGCUAAUACCGGAUGAUAUUUUGAACCGCAUGGUUCAAAAGUGAAAGACGGUUUUGCUGUCACUUAUAGAUGGAUCCGCGCUGCAUUAGCUAGUUGGUAGGGUAACGGCUUACCAAGGCAACGAUGCGUAGCCGACCUGAGAGGUUGAUCGCCCACACGGGAACUGAGCCACGGCCCGGCCUCCUACGGGAGGCAGCAGUGGGGAAUUUUCGGCAAUGGGGGAAACCCUGACGGAGCAACGCCGCGUGAGGGAUGAAGGCCUUCGGGUGGUAAAACUCUGUUGUUGGGGAAGAACAUAUGUGUAAGAAACCUUGCGGGUCUUGACGGUACCUAAUCAAAAAGCACCGGCUAACUACGU